UAACAAAGAAGUAAAUAAUUACAUUUAGUUUCGACCUAAAUUUAGAGUAAAAAUAUACUCCAUGUUUU
rnacentral:tRNA from 1 species